rnacentral:rRNA from 1 species
GACGUAGGGCGCGAGCGUUGUCCGGAUUUAUUGGGCGUAAAGAGCUCGUAGGCGGCUCAUUGCGUCAACCGUGAAAACCAGCAGCCCAACUGUUGGCUUGCGGUUGAUACGGGUGGGCUGGAGUUCGGUAGGGGAGACUGGAAUUCCUGGUGUAGCGGUGAAAUGCGCAGAUAUCAGGAGGAACACCGGUGGCGAAGGCGGGUCUCUGGGCCGAUACUGACGCUGAGGAGCGAAAGCUAGGGGAGCAAACGGG